rnacentral:rRNA from 1 species
UACGGGGGGGGCAAGCGUUGCUCGGAAUCACUGGGCGUAAAGGGUGCGUAGGCGGGUCUUUAAGUCAGGGGUGAAAUCCUGGAGCUCAACUCCAGAACUGCCUUUGAUACUGAAGAUCUUGAGUUCGGGAGAGGUGAGUGGAACUGCGAGUGUAGAGGUGAAAUUCGUAGAUAUUCGGAAGAACACCAGUGGCGAAGGCGGCUCACUGGACCGGUAUUGACGCUGAGGUGCGAAAGCGUGGGGAGCAAUCAGG